rnacentral:rRNA from 1 species
AUUGAACGCUGGCGGCAGGCCUAACACAUGCAAGUCGAGCGGAUGAAGGGAGCUUGCUCCUGGAUUCAGCGGCGGACGGGUGAGUAAUGCCUAGGAAUCUGCCUGGUAGUGGGGGAUAACGUCCGGAAACGGGCGCUAAUACCGCAUACGUCCUGAGGGAGAAAGUGGGGGAUCUUCGGACCUCACGCUAUCAGAUGAGCCUAGGUCGGAUUAGCUAGUUGGUGGGGUAAAGGCCUACCAAGGCGACGAUCCGUAACUGGUCUGAGAGGAUGAUCAGUCACACUGGAACUGAGACACGGUCCAGACUCCUACGGGAGGCAGCAGUGGGGAAUAUUGGACAAUGGGCGAAAGCCUGAUCCAGCCAUGCCGCGUGUGUGAAGAAGGUCCUCGGAUUGUAAAGCACUUUAAGCUGGGAGGAAGGGCAGUAAGUUAAUACCUUGCUGUUUUGACGUUACCAACAGAAUAAGCACCGGCUAACUUCGUG